rnacentral:rRNA from 1 species
AGACGGAGGGGGCUAGCGUUGUUCGGAAUUACUGGGCGUAAAGCGCGCGUAGGCGGAUUGAUCAGUCAGAGGUGAAAUCCCAGGGCUCAACCCUGGAACUGCCUUUGAUACUGUCAGUCUUGAGUUCGAGAGAGGUGAGUGGAAUUCCGAGUGUAGAGGUGAAAUUCGUAGAUAUUCGGAGGAACACCAGUGGCGAAGGCGGCUCACUGGCUCGAUACUGACGCUGAGGUGCGAAAGCGUGGGGAGCAAACAGGAUUAGAAACCCGGGUAGUCC